UUUUUCUAUAAAAGUCUUAUCGAGAAUUGACUUUUAUAACUUUGUCUCAGAAAAUGAGUACUUUUAAAUAAAAUUCAUUUUAAAAAGAAUAUAUAUAUCGCUGAAGGAUUAUAAAUCCCGUAUGUUUUAAACUAUGAUUGUUUUCUUUCAUGAAGUUUUUUUAGAAGUUGCAAAUUGUUCAGUCUUUUCUCUUUUAUUGAUAGUACUUGUAAUGUUAAUUAGAGGUAGAAUUAUCAAUGUGUCAUGUGUCCUAUUGUUUUUCUGUUUGUCUUUUUCAUUUUUAGCCAUGGCGUUGUCAGUUUGUUUUAGAUUUACGAGUUUGACUGUCCCUUAGGUAUCUUUCGUCCCUCUUUUAUCAACAUUCACUAUUACUCAUAUUACAAGGGCAUUAAAGUGCAAAGUUCAAAAAGGAGGAUUCUUUUAGACAUUUCAAGAAUAUGUUAAACAUCUUAUACGAAAAUGUGUUUGAUUCUGUUUCAAAUUGAUUAAAAUUUGUGUUUCAUGUAGAUU
rnacentral:lncRNA from 1 species